CGGUCGCUCUUAGGUGCGACAGGCCGAAUAAUCCCUGAGGCCAAUUCUAACCUCUCGGGAGCUGUCCCUACCGAGACCGUGGUUUCGGCACAUGGCGCCCACCUGCGUAAGCAGGCCACAGAGGAUUCACCGAGCCAUCGGCCCAUGGGGCGCCGCC
rnacentral:other from 1 species